rnacentral:misc_RNA from 1 species
UUUUGAACACAGUAGGUAUAUUAAAAUAUAUAUAUGAAAGUUUUUCGAAGUACUAUGUGUCAACAAAUCAUGGGGGAAAAUGUGUGCAUAAGCUUGUACACAAAAUAUCGUCGUACAUUGAAAACGGUAACAAAUUUCACAUAAUCCAUCGAGACCCGCGACCCAUAAAUAAGCUCCUACUGGCCCAUCGGAGAGCCGUAACUGUCUUUAGCGCUGCUAGUGAUUAACAAUUUACUGAGCUCUGUUUUAUUAUAAUAUAAAAUGCAUUGUAGUGAUUGAGAUUGCAAUUUUAUAGAUUAUACCGUUCUAUUGUGUUGUAACGGAAGAGAAGGACUUAUAAUCAUAAUAAAAUACUCUUUAUUGUACCCGACAAAAAAAAAAAAAAAAAAAAAUAUUUUCUGAUGUAACAUACAUAAAAAAAAAAAAAAAAAAAAAAAAAAAAAAAAAAAAAAAAAAAAAAAAAAAUACAA